rnacentral:rRNA from 1 species
GUGAACGCUGGCGGUAGGCCUAACACAUGCAAGUCGCACGGCAGCACAGUAAGAGCUUGCUCUUACGGGUGGCGAGUGGCGGACGGGUGAGGAAUACAUCGGAAUCUACUUUUUCGUGGGGGAUAGCGUAGGGAAACUUACGCUAAUACCGCAUACGACCUACGGGUGAAAGCAGGGGAUCUUCGGGCCUUGCGCGAUUGAAUGAGCCGAUGUCGGAUUAGCUAGUUGGCGGGGUAAAGGCCCACCAAGGCGACGAUCCGUAGCUGGUCUGAGAGGAUGAUCAGCCACACUGGAACUGAGACACGGUCCAGACUCCUACGGGAGGCAGCAGUGGGGAAUAUUGGACAAUGGGCGCAAGCCUGAUCCAGCCAUACCGCGUGGGUGAAGAAGGCCUUCGGGUUGUAAAGCCCUUUUGUUGGGAAAGAAAAGCAGCAGGUUAAUACCCCGCUGUUCUGACGGUACCCAAAGAAUAAGCACCGGCUAACUUCGUG